rnacentral:rRNA from 1 species
UACGUAGGGUGCGAGCGUUGUCCGGAAUUACUGGGCGUAAAGAGCUUGUAGGUGGUUUGUCGCGUUGUUCGUGAAAUCUCACGGCUUAACUGUGAGCGUGCGGGCGAUACGGGCAGACUAGAGUACUGCAGGGGAGACUGGAAUUCCUGGUGUAGCGGUGGAAUGCGCAGAUAGUCGAGAGGAACACCUGCGGCGAAGGCGGGUCUCUGGGCAGUGAACUGACGCUGGAGGAGCGAAAAGCGUGGGGAGGCGAACAGG